UUUCCGGUCUGGCUCCGCGCGGCCAAGUUCCUUUUUCUCCUUGGUGGUGGCUUGCUUAAAACGGCUUUGGUUUGUCUGGGAAAAGAACUUCCGUUGGAGUCAGGCUUAGUGAUCUCUGCACGGGCCUGGCGAACCUGGAGCGCACUGGCUGCCAGUUAGCUCUGAAGGAGCUUCAUGGCUUAGCAUUCUGUUUGCCAAUUGGAGAGACUGAUGAGCUGGAUGGACAUAGUGAAACAAUUGAUGACGAUUCUGAAGGUAAAGGCACUUGCAAAAUCUGUUGAGAAUAUCUCCUAACUUUGUAUUUGUAUGUGGUUUGUCACACAAAAGUAAUGCAUGUGCACGUGUAUCAUAAAAAUGAAGACUUUUAUUCUGGUAUAAAUAGCCCUGCAUUGGGAACAACCCAACUUGUGGUCAGCAGAAUGAUGAUAAAUUGUGAUGUGUUGUGGAAGAGUACAGCAAACAGAAGGAGUAAAUCAAAAGUAGACGCAGCAUUUCCGAUAAACUUUACUGACGGUUUGAAGUGAAAGAAGCUAGACAAAAAAGAAUGUCUUGCCUCUCUCCAGGGCAAGGAUUUAGACCUCAUUAGCUAACAUGAGUGUAUUUAUUUCUAUUGCUGCCUAACAAUUUAAAACAAAAUUAGUGGGUUAGAGUAACAGUUUCUUUUGAGUCAGGAGCCCAGGCACUGGGUAGCUAGCUUCUUGGUCAGGAUUUCACCUGAUUUACUAUCAAGGCAUUGCUAGGGUUGCAGUCUUAUGUAGCUUAACUGGAGAAGCUUAUGUAGGGAAAAAUACUUCCACACUCAGGGAAUCGGCAAAAUUUGUCUCCUAGAGGUAUAUAGGACUUUGGUAGGUGUUGAAACCUGGAGGGUAACCUUCACUCCUAGAGUCUUCUGCAGUUCUUGCCACAUGACUGUUUGUUUCAUUAAGCUAGCUAGCUGAGCUUUAUUUCCUCAGAGAAGGCCUACACAUUUUACAAGCAGGUGGCGCCCACAGGGAUCAUAUUAGGGUUUGCCAGCCACAGUGUAGUUAUAGCUCAGUGGGUGGUGGAGGAAUUUGCGUGGUUCCAGUGGGCCAGAUUUGGUUCCACAGUGCCAGAUGCUAUUGAUGAGUAGCAUGAAGAGGGAGUUGAGACACCAGUGCAGUUAUGGGUCCUAAAAUGUUCAGUGUGUUUUGCAGUACUGGGACUUGAACUCAGGGCCUUCACCUUGAGCCACUCUGCC